rnacentral:Y_RNA from 1 species
GACAAGUUAUCUCACGUGAUUGUUCACAGUCAGUUACAGAUUGAACUCCUUGUUCUACUACUUUCCCCCCUCCUCACUACUGCACUUGACUAGUCUUAA